rnacentral:rRNA from 1 species
AGGACGAACGCUGGCGGCGUGCUUAACACAUGCAAGUCGAGCGGAAAGGCCCUUCGGGGUACUCGAGCGGCGAACGGGUGAGUAACACGUGAGUAAUCUGCCCCUAGCUCUGGGAUAGCUCCGGGAAACCGGGAUUAAUACCAGAUACGACCACUUUAGACAUCUUCUGUGGUGGAAAGAACUUCGGCUAGGGAUGAACUCGCGGCCUAUCAGCUUGUUGGUGAGGUAACGGCUCACCAAGGCGACGACGGGUAGCCGGCCUGAGAGGGCGACCGGCCACACUGGGACUGAGACACGGCCCAGACUCCUACGGGAGGCAGCAGUGGGGAAUAUUGCGCAAUGGGCGAAAGCCUGACGCAGCGACGCCGCGUGGGGGAUGAAGGCCUCGGGUUGUAAACCCCUUUCAGCAGGGACGAAGCGAAAGUGACGGUACCUGCAGAAGAAGCGCCGGCUAACUACGCGCCAGCAGCCGC